AUAUCGGAACGUGCCCUGGAGUGGGGGAUAACUAGUCGAAAGAUUAGCUAAUACCGCAUACGAUCUAUGGAUGAAAGUGGGGGAUCGCAAGACCUCAUGCUCGUGGAGCGGCCGAUAUCUGAUUAGCUAGUUGGUGGGGUAAAAGCCUACCAAGGCAUCGAUCAGUAGCUGGUCUGAGAGGACGACCAGCCACACUGGGACUGAGACACGGCCCAGACUCCUACGGGAGGCAGCAGUGGGGAAUUUUGGACAAUGGGGGCAACCCUGUUCCAGCAAUGCCGCGUGAGUGAAGAAGGCCUUCGGGUUGUAAAGCUCUUUUGUCAGGGAAGAAACGGUUCUGGCUAAUAUCCGGAGCUAAUGACGGUACCUGAAGAAUAAGCACCGGCUAACUACGUGCCAGCAGCCGCGGUAAUACGUAGGGUGCGAGCGUUAAUCGGAAUUACUGGGCGUAAAGCGUGCGCAGGCGGUUGUGCAAGACAGAUGUGAAAUCCCCGGGCUCAACCUGGGAAUUGCAUUUGUGACUGUACGGCUAGAGUGUGUCAGAGGGGGGUAGAAUUCCACGUGUAGCAGUGAA
rnacentral:rRNA from 1 species